GUCAUCGACCCCAAUCAUGUCGACAGCCUCCGAUGCGGGGCCACUUGGUUUCGCAUCAGAUUCGUCCGGGUUGAUGAACUCCACAUCAUCUGUAACGUCCAAUUAUUCGCAUACACGAAACUGAAGCGUAUAGUCAUUCCCGUUGAUCGACCCGCUCUACACAGGAGUCGUUCCGAUACAACAUCGUCACGGGCAUUAACGGACCGCUUCCAUACGAUCUACCAUAUAGACGAAUCGCGUCGAUUUCUCGGCUAUGGUCCAGCGGUGAAAUCCGACAGCUGACGGGUGCGUGCGAUGGGGACCAUAAAAGUGCGACAGAUGCAGGGCGGGACAAGUGGGCUCCCCCGUUUACGAAGCUGAGCAAAGCUGCACGACCGGAGCAGCUUCGACAGUUGUUGAUCGGUGCGCGAUGUAAAACGAAGAGAAGAACGAAAAAGGCGAUCCGACCCCCCAUUUUAUUUGGGGGCUGGAAGGUCUAUAGAUAGAACGAUAACGUCGCUACGAAUGCAGCGGGGAAUAUUAUCCGGGUUAUUUUUAACCCCCCCUGAGAGAGCGUCCUCCGUUCAACGUAUACGGUAUGUGUAUGUACGAUAUAAGCGAUAUUCGGUAUUCCAUUUGUUCUUCCUUUUCUUCUUAUUUUCUUCUCACGAUGCCCUCUGCCGCGCUUUCGGAAAUCGGAAUUUCCCGGGCCCUUCUUAUAUUCCUUUUGGGGCCAUCUACCUGCCCUUCUCCCUCGGAGCGGCGCGAUCUAAAUAUAGCCGCUCAUUUUAACGAUGGAAUUUACCAUAUCCCUGAAUCUUAGGGGAGAGAGUGACCCCUGAAUCACGUGACCGCCAAUUGACGUCGUAUGCGACAGUGCAUGCGUUCGUUCGAAUAGUGCGAAGUUUCCGCUAAUCGGGGAUUCGCCAACUCGUAUAAUUUAUUGCCAAUUCAUCCCUCAUCUGUGACGGUGGGAUUUUCCGAACAAUCGAAAUAUAGUAUACGCGGUCAUUGUGAAUGAAAUUUUGUAUAUCACGUUUGCGAGCGAGGUCUAAUUUGUGUAUUGAUAUUUAUAGGUAUAUUCGCGUCAUAACAUCAAUUUAACUGACCAUAAAGAGAAGGAGAAUUUUAGCA